rnacentral:rRNA from 1 species
GAUGAACGCUGGCGGCGUGCCUAAUACAUGCAAGUCGAGCGAACAGACGAGGAGCUUGCUCCUCUGACGUUAGCGGCGGACGGGUGAGUAACACGUGGAUAACCUACCUAUAAGACUGGGAUAACUUCGGGAAACCGGAGCUAAUACCGGAUAAUAUAUUGAACCGCGUGGUUCAAUAGUGAAAGACGGUUUUGCUGUCACUUAUAGAUGGAUCCGCGCCGCAUUAGCUAGUUGGUAAGGUAACGGCUUACCAAGGCAACGAUGCGUAGCCGACCUGAGGGGGUGAUCGGCAGCACGGGAGCGAGGACGCGCACCAAACCCGGACGGGAGGCAGGGGUAGGAAAUCUUCGGGAAGGGGCGAAAGCCUAAAGGAGAAACGCGGCGAGAGUGAGAAAGGUCUUCGGAUCGUAAAACUCUAUUAUUAGGGAAGAACAAAGGUGUAAGUAACUAGGCACGUAUGACCGGAACCGAAGAAGAAGGCCCGGGCAAAUUAGGG